rnacentral:rRNA from 1 species
ACGGCUCAGUAACACGUGGACAAUCUAACUACGGAGGGGGAUAACCCCGGGAAACUGGGGAUAAUACCCCAUAGACUAUGGGCGCUGGAAUGCCCUGUAGUCGAAAGGUCCGCCGCCGUAGGAUGGGUCUGCGGCCGAUUAGGUUGUUGUUGGGGUAACGGCCCAACAAACCUGAAACCGGUACGGGCUCUGAGAGGAGAAGCCCGGAGAUGGGCACUGAGACAAGGGCCCAGGUCCUACGGGGCGCAGCAGUCGCGAAACCUUUGCAAUACACGAAAGUGUGACAGGGUCAUCCCGAGUGCCGACCGCUGAGGUUGGCUUUUACCCAGUCUAGAAAGCUGGGGGAAUAAGGAGAGGGCAAGUCUGGUGUCAGCCGCCGCGGUAAUACCAGCUCUCCGAGUGGUGUGGACGUUUAUUGGGCCUAAAGCAUCCGUAGCUGGCUGAUCAAGUCCCCUGUUAAACCCACCGAUUUAAUCGUUGGCUUGCGGGGGAUACUGUUCGGCUAGGGGACGAGAGAGGCAGACGGUAUUCCCGGGGUAGGGGUGAAAUCCUAUAAUCCCGAGAAGACCACCAGUGGCGAAGGCUGUCUGCUAGAACGCGCCCGACGGUGAGGGAUGAAAGCUGGGGGAGCGAACCGGAUUAGAUACCCGAGUAGUCCUGGCCGUAAACGCUGCGUGCAAGAUGUUGCACAAUCUUCGCGACUGUGCAGUGUCGCAACGAAGGUGUUAAGCACGCCACCUGGGAAGUACGGUCGCAAGGCUGAAACUUAAAGGAAUUGGCGAGGGAG